rnacentral:rRNA from 1 species
GACAGAGGGUGCAAACGUUGUUCGGAAUUACUGGGCGUAAAGCGUGCGUAGGCGGUUCGUUAAGUGCGUCGUGAAAGCCCCGGGCUCAACCUGGGAAUGGCAUUGGAAACUGGCGAGCUAGAGUGUGGCAGAGGGGGGUGGAAUUCCGCGUGUAGCAGUGAAAUGCGUAGAGAUGCGGAGGAACACCGAUGGCGAAGGCAGCCCCCUGGGCUGACACUGACGCUCAGGCACGAAAGCGUGGGGAGCAAACAGG